GAGUUGGCUCUGUACCCUGGAGUGUGGAGACAGCAGUUCUUCCUCUGGUUUCCUCAGUGCUGCCAAGGACGAUUUUUCCAGCAAGUACCAUGUCACUAGAAAAUUUUGGUACUUCUCAUAAGGGGUAUGCACUAGCACAUACCCAAGGAGGAGGAGAAAAAAAGCAAACUUCAGGUACAUCAAACACCAGAGGAUCAAGACGAAAACCUGCAACAACUGCUCCUACAAGGAGGUCCACACGAAACACACGCGUUGAGACAGUCAGUCCAUCCCAGAAGUCC
rnacentral:lncRNA from 1 species